rnacentral:rRNA from 1 species
AAGCGGCAACAGCUCAAAUUUGGAAUCUGGCUCCCUCUGGGGGUCCGAGUUGUAAUUUGAAGAGGGUGCUUUGGCGUCGGCGGCGGUCUAAGUCCCUUGGAACAGGGCAUCGCAGAGGGUGAGAAUCCCGUAUGUGGCCGCAAGCCUUCGCCGUGUAAAGCCCCUUCGACGAGUCGAGUUGUUUGGGAAUGCAGCUCUAAAUGGGAGGUAAAUAUCUUCUAAAGCUAAAUACUGGCCAGAGACCGAUAGCGCACAAGUAGAGUGAUCGAAAGAUGAAAAGCACUUUGGAAAGAGAGUCAAACAGCACGUGAAAUUGUUGAAAGGGAAGCGCUUGCAGCCAGACUUGCUCGCAGUUGCUCAUCCGGGCUCUCGCCCGGUGCACUCUUCUGCGAGCAGGCCAGCAUCAGUUUGGGCAGCCGGAUAAAGACCUCUGUCACGUAUCUUCCUUCGGGAUGACCUUAUAGGGGAGGUGCAAUGCGGCUAGCCCGGACUGAGGUCCGCGCAUUCGCUAGGAUGCUGGCGUAAUGGCUGUAAGCGGCC